rnacentral:rRNA from 1 species
GUGGGGGAUAUUGGACAAUGGGGGAAACCCUGAUCCAGCGAUGCCGCGUGAGGGAAGAAGGUUUUCGGAUUGUAAACCUCUGUCUUAAGGGACGAUAAUGACGGUACCUUAGGAGGAAGCUCCGGCUAACUACGUGCCAGCAGCCGCGGUAAUACGUAGGGAGCGAGCGUUGUCCGGAAUUACUGGGUGUAAAGGGAGUGUAGGCGGGAAUGCAAGUCAGAAGUGAAAACUAUGGGCUUAACCCAUAGCCUGCUUUUGAAACUGUAUUUCUUGAGUGAAGCAGAGGCAAGCGGAAUUCCAAGUGUAGCGGUGAAAUGCGUAGAUAUUUGGAGGAACACCAGUGGCGAAGGCGGCUUGCUGGGCUUUUACUGACGCUGAGGCUCGAAAGCGUGGGGAGCAAACAGGA